GAUGAAGAACGCAGCGAAAUGUGAUACUUGGUGUGAAUUGCAGAAUCCCGUGAACCAUCGAGUCUUUGAACGCAAGUUGCGCCCGAAGCCAUUAGGCCGAGGGCACGCCUGCCUGGGCGUCACACGUCGUUGCCCCCCCAUCUACUCCUUCGGGAUUGCGGGGGGCGGAUGAUGGCCUCCCGUGCGCCUCGUCGCGCGGUUGGCAUAAAUGCCAAGUCCUCGGCGACGCACGCCACGACAAUCGGUGGUUGCGAAACCUCGGUUGCCCGUCGUGUGCGGUCGUCGCGCAUCGAGGGCUCGAAAAAAUUGUCGGGCUCCGGCUCGGCUUUCAACGCGACCCCAGGUCAGGCGGGGUUACCCGCUGAAUUUAAGCAUAUCAAUAAGCGGAGGA
rnacentral:misc_RNA from 1 species